AACGCACAUUGCGCCCGCCAGUAUUCUGGCGGGCAUGCCUGUCCGAGCGUCAUUUCAACCCUCGAACCCCUCCGGGGGUCCGGCGUUGGGGAUCGGCCCUUAACCGGCCGGCCCCGAAAUACAGUGGCGGCCUCGCCGCAGCCUCUCAUGCGCAGUAGUUUGCACACUCGCACCGGGAGCGCGGCGCGGCCACAGCCGUAAAACAAACCAAACUCUGAAAUGUUGACCUCGGAUCAGGUAGGAAUACCCGCUGAACUUAA
rnacentral:misc_RNA from 1 species